ensembl:snRNA U2 U2 spliceosomal RNA
GUCACCUCUCAGCCUUUUGGCUAAGAUCAAGUGUAGUAUCUGUUCUGAUCGUUAUAAUAUUGCAUAUUCAAUCAAUAGUCAAUACAAGGUUGGUUGUAUCUGAUAUGAAUCAACAUUGAAUUAAAAGUUGAUCUUUU